UCUGAUGUCAUCUGUAAAAAAUGAAACUUGAAUUGUAAAUAUUGAAAAUUAUCACUGAAUUUUAAGUAAUAUUCUUGUUGAUGAUGAUGAUGAUAAUUCCCCACAGUUUUCCAAAUUUACCUGACACUUUACUAUUUAAGGAGUUUGGUAGGAAGAACCUGAGUCUGGAGUGCUGGGAGUGGUUACCUGGGAGAUCUGGGCCCCUGAAUAAUUCACUCCUAUGGGGAGCCUGGGCUAUUCGCCUGAGCGGUUGCCUUCAAGAAUCUCUGGAGACUGGGCAUCAGGUCUUAAGAGAGACAGUGGGCAGGUCCUUCCCAAAGAAUUCCAUGGCUGCAUUCUUCCCAAGUGCAAUACUACCGCUGUGUACCGGUGAUCCGUGC
rnacentral:lncRNA from 1 species